rnacentral:rRNA from 1 species
AGCGAACGCUGGCGGCAGGCCUAACACAUGCAAGUCGAACGAACCUUUCGGGGUUAGUGGCGGACGGGUGAGUAACACGUGGGAACGUGCCUUUAGGUUCGGAAUAACUCAGGGAAACUUGUGCUAAUACCGAAUGUGCCCUUCGGGGGAAAGAUUUAUCGCCUUUAGAGCGGCCCGCGUCUGAUUAGCUAGUUGGUUGAGGUAAUGGCUCACCAAGGCGACGAUCAGUAGCUGGUCUGAGAGGAUGAUCAGCCACAUUGGGACUGAGACACGGCCCAAACUCCUACGGGAGGCAGCAGUGGGGAAGCUUGCGCAAUGGGCGAAAGCCUGACGCAGCCAUGCCGCGUGAAUGAUGAAGGUCUUAGGAUUGUAAAAUUCUUUCACCGGGGACGAUAAUGACGGUACCCGGAGAAGAAGCCCCGGCUAACUUCGUG